UUACCAUGCAUUGAGGCGGUGUCUCGUUGCUCCUUCCACACAUACAGCAUCUAGUUGAUUCAGGAAUGGGGUGAGUCCAGCAUGCUUGAACAAUAACAUCUCUCUUGCUUUUGCAUCAAUCCCCGACUCCACGUUGUUCACUUAGAGGAUCUCAGCAUUUCCUGCCUGCUCCUUUGUCUCUUUAAAACUGAAGAUAUCUGCUUCUCAAGCUGAUAGCAGUUCCUUAUGUUUAAUGUACAUGAGAAUUGCAGGAAAGAAGCUUCCAAGAGGGCUCCUUCAUUUGAGGAACGGUUUUAUUGUGAAUAGGAGAGAAAAAAAUAUCCGGAGGUAUCUGCAAGAAUCCAUAGCAGAGAGCAAAAGAUUACAU